AGGAAUCCAGAAUCUUUAAAGUCAAAAGAAGAGGAGGGAUCAGAGAGCUGAAGCCAAUGGCAGAAGGUGGAACAAAAUCAAUCUGAUUAGUUUUAUUCCACUAGAGAACCAUCACCGAAAGUGCUGCUUCCAUGGAAUUUAAGAUGUAGUGACAUGACUACCUCCGUGCAGAAGACAAUGAGUGUGAGUAAAACACAUCGUCCCCGACCUUCCAUCUCUGACUUGCGCAGCCCAGGAGACAUGGCACAGAAGUACACGGCUACGAAGAAAAGAGGGCAACCCGACUCAUAUCAGAGGCAGCAUCAAAGACGAGCAAACUGUGCUGCCUUCAGACCCUGCACUUGCUUAUUGUGAUAGUUCGCACUGAUCACAUUAACUAAUACAGCACACGAGUACCAGAAUUUCUCCUAGUAAUUUGAGACCUUGUGAUAGGAAUGAUUCAACACAAUGCCAAGUUUUCUGAUAUAACUAAAGGAAAAUAUGUGAGGAUGUUAAUGACCACUUUUUUUUUCCUCCUUGUAAAAUUACAUGUGCAGCGCCCUAUGUAUAGGCUUAGAAAAAAUGUGAAGUAGAUUAAAUCAAGUUCUUUCUAAAAUAUAUACUUCUUAAGUAAUAUGAAUAUUUAUAAUUAAAUACUUUAAGAAUAUUUGUCCAGAAUUUCCUAUGCAAAUGUAAACUGGAAUUUAAAAAUUAUAUAAAAAUAACAAAUUAUCCAACUGUGAAGAAUUAUAAUAUUUUUAUAUUUUUGUUUGCUACCUAAAAAUAACACAGGUAAUCAUAGGCUUAGUGGAUGUGUUAAAAUAACCCACGUUUUAAUUUACAUACUAUUCAUUCCAAUUUCAUUUAUAUUUUACUUCCUGUAUUUCAUCACUCUCAUAUACUGAAAUACUAGUUUACCUCUCUAUUCUAACCUUAUAAGACCCUAUUCAUAUUCACAGAAGGAAAAAUUAAAUGAAAAAAAUCAUCCCUUCAAGAAACUGAAGCAUGACUAGAUUUAUAAUUGGCCAGUGUAAAGUUGAUACUCUGCUAAAUCAAGACUCUUCUGCUUCUUUUUUUUUUUUUUUGCUCUUUUCCUAGGACUCAGUGAAGACAAAACAGCAGCCUUAGUGCAGGGUCUCCUGAUCAUAACUGCAGUUGGAGAACUGUUUUCUGGCCUGAGCCCCUCCCCCGGCUCUCGCCAGCUUCCUUAAGAGCAUUUACUUAACCCUGAGCACGAGUCUGACUCGAGUACAUCCCUGUCUUGUUCUCACCAUUGGCUCUCCAAGCACAGGCCAUGCACUGCAAGGAACAGGAUCUUGGCAUCUCCACCUGCAUGCUGGCUGAGCCUCCACCUUUCCCUUCACUGGACCAGAUGCCUUCUAGCCUCACCCCUGGCUCUCCUGCUGGCAUCCCAGGCCUGUGCCGUGGCCCUGUGCUGCGCUCUAGGUUGUGCUGGCAUCUGAGGACACAUGCAGCCAUGUGGCCCAUCUGCCCUCCUGCAGGUGCCUGCGCACCGGCCAGCAAUGCCCCCAGGAUGGCCCUGCUCUGGGAUCCGGACCACAGGCCUCUCCAGUUUAGGCCUCCAAAUCCACCCAGGAAUUGAUGCUUAUCCCAGUUCUCCCAUACCUGUGCCUGUGACCCCUGGGGUUCAUUUAAAGUAAAAUGUCUUACCUCUCUUUUGAAAUUAUUUUCUCACUUCCCUCCAUAGGUCAAAUAAAGGUUUUUGACAACUCUUUCAUCACAGACAUAUUUUCCUGUCCUCUAAAUAAAAUAAACACUGUGCUCUGUGUCUUCAAGGCUUCACGUUAUUUAUGUAGAAAAUCAAGAGUAUAAUCUUCACAAAAGAAUGGUUUGUCCAAGUUCCUUGCAUUGCAAAUUCAAUGCACAUUGACUCUUAGUAAACACUAAGAACAAAUAGGUGUCAUCUAGACUAAAAACUGCUAAUACACAUUUUUAAAAUUUCAUUAGCUUCAAUGAAAAAUACUUUUCCUGUGGUAAUAAUUCAUAUUAUUUUAUUUUCUAGCAUAUAAUUCAUAUAUUCAAUUAUAUUACUCUGGCAUAUAAUUCUGGUAAAGAUUCAUAUUAUUUAUUUUCAUCAAAAUGGAAAAAGUUAAAACUUAAAUAUGUAUAAUCCUUUUACUUUAUAACCAAGAGUUUGCACCUUUUGACCACCUUCAUGUUUACAAAAGUUUUUUUAAAUAUAUCAUCAAAUUGAGUGAAAGAAUACAAAUUAAAAGAUUAAAAUUUUCAGCCAAAGAAACUAUAAAAUAAUAUAAUAUGCACUAAUUCAAUAAGUUGAAAUAAAAUUACAUAUCUAAUUAAAUUCACCCCAUUUUAUUUUAACUUAUAAGGCAUGUUUGUCAGUUUAAUUUGGUAUGUGUGGGCACUUCAUAAUUUUGUCUUUAUUGGAGAUUAGUAUGCAAAAUACAGAAAUAUAGAAAACUUCAACAAAAUAUUUUUUCAAUAAAAUUAAAUGUU